AUAGGUGUGUAGUUUAGGUAAAAUUCUUAUAACUGCAUUUGUCUGUUUUACAACAGAUAAACAGUAACCAAGUAUAAAUGUACUGUUUUUUUUAUGUUGGAUGGAUCAUCAGACCUGCACCUUCCUUGAACAUGUUGGUAUCUUACUCUGUAUUUGUUCACGGUGGUCACCCCAGGGUCUCAGGACUCAAAUUGAGUGCUCUAUGGAUUAAACAGAAAAUGCAGUAUAAACAAGUGUUAUGUUGUCUUGAACAUGUUGGUAACUUACUCUGUAUUUGUUCACGGUGGUCACCCCAGGGUCUCAGGACUCAAAACGAGUGCUCUAUGGAUUGAACAUAAAAUGUAGUAUAAACAAGUGUUAUGUUUUUAAAUGCCACUAAUAAUGUGUUUCUGUUUUCUUUCUCAUUAUGCUAACAAACACUCUUUUACCCCUCAUGUUAGGUAGAUCAACACUCCAACCAUCUGCAUUAGGGACUGAAUAAAGGAUGCCCUCUGUAGCUGGGAAUGUUAGAUCAGGCGGAUCAACAUUCCAUCCAUCUGCAUUAGGAUCUACCUUAGAGACACUCACUGGAGCUGUAAAUGGGAAGCAGGUCACUUACUUUGCAUUCGUCCUUGGUGGUCACCCAAGGGUCUCUAGAGUGAAAAUUACUCAAUCUAUGGAUUAAACAGAAAAUUUAGUUGUAUGAAGUGGCUCCGUCCUAGAAGGCUGCAUGUCUCGGCUGCCACGUCAUCAAGCAUCGUCGAAGGACAUAUCAAUCUGCUUGUUUUCUAUUUUGUUGUUUUAAUUUAAUUACAAAAUGUUUAACUGUCCAUGUUGUAAAGACAGUUGAUACAUGACUUUUAUUCACUGUACUACAUUAUUGGAUUUUUUUGGUGAUGCAUUGCUAAUUUUCAACUUCUCUCUUUAAAGUUUUCAUGCCAUGAUCACUGGGGCGGAAACCAUUAUUACGUUGCCUUGGACAUCAAACUAAACCAUCUCAUUUUGGCUUUUUUCUAACAUCGAAAUCUCAGAAGGCCAGGACUAAGAUGGACGCAGCCUCCACAUGCAACCUUGCAUUUGAGGAACACCCAUAGAACGGUCAACUUACCCCAUACUCUAACCUGAAUGCAGGGAUCAUAAAACUUUAUCUUUUACCUUAAUUGUUAGAUUGGUGUUGAUACCAAACUUUUUUGUCUCGUCUACCAAGGAGAAAGUCAUGGGUUCUGCUGCUGAGGUUGUCAUAAAGCAUGCUUUUUCCAUUUGUUGCAUUGGGCAAUAUUAUCAAAAGAUUCUGAAAGAAAUAAGAUAAUUUUCAAAGCAUUAACAUGAAUAUGAAAGCAUUAAGUCAUUAAUGACCAUCUUUUAUUAUUGUUUAUUUAUAGUGUCUUUUAUUCUGCUUACCUGACUCAUGCAGAAUUCUGGCUUGAUGUUUGGUCCACCUGUUAGUUGGCUCUGGUGCUUGGUAGUCUUCUCAAACCUCUGAAUCAAGGCCACCAUGAGAGGCCUUCUGAAGACCAUCAUUCAUUACGCUUCAGAUCCAGUUGUCUUAACUAUGAGCCUACCACAAUCCCUGUGCACCAGCUAUGGAAACCAAAGUGCAAACUAGUGCAAACCAAACUUCUACCUCCACCUAUAGAACUGAACUGGAGUCUGUGAACUAAUGCUGUGUUCGAGACAACUGGAACAGCAAACAAAGUUGAGUAUCCGACCUCUCAACUUGGGACAGAUCGAUCAGCACCAACCUCAACGAGAUGCAUCAUUUGACAUUGCAGACAAGAUCCUUUCUCUUUUUAAUGCAGCACUUAAGGAUGAACCACCCUGAUCUACUAAGAUGCACAGAUUGAACUCUGGCCCAGCAUCAUCCCCACACCUCAUCUGCCAUCAGUUUAAUUUAAUGUCUGUCAAUUGCAAAUGCUAUUUAUUUCAGUUAUAUUACAACUUAAUGUUAACUUUAAUUGAGACUAGUAUUGUGUAAAGCUGGGGUUUCCAAACUUUUCAUUUCAAAACCUAUUAGACAAGUGUAAUCUAUUCUAGACCCACUAAAAUAUUUUUUAAUGGGCUAAAACACAUUUGUUCUCUUUCCGUGGAGUCAUUUUAUUUUCAUAAUAUUUCAUAAUGUAAAGCAGUGGUUCUUAACGUUAUUCCUCGAGGCCCAUUGCUCUGCACAUUUUGUAUGUCUCUUUUAUCUGACAGACUCAGUUCAGUUCAUUGAGAUCUCUUCUAAUGAGCUGAUGAUUUGAAUCAGGUGUGUUAAAUAAGAAGGAC